CCCACGCUGAGCUCGCCGUCGUGCAAGGAGUCCGUGUUGCGCUCGCCACUGUUCCUGCCCAAGCCACCGACGUCGUCGAGCCUCGCCAGCGCUUCACUUAAGUCACCUCACCGAAGCGCCAAGCAGCAUGCCAUCGCCGUCACCCCAGCUGACUGCGAUCCGUUUCUGACCUUCGAGGAAUCGACGAUCAAGCGUUGGCGACUAAGUGAUCGAACUCUUCGAGUUCUGCGAGGCUGAAGAUCCUGAGCAUCUGUUUGGUGAAGGCAAGUGUCCUCUGACCCAUUAUGUCCCAUUUACUUUAUAAUUCACUGUCCCGCAUACUAUGAACAACCUAAGGAUUGACUAGCUUUCUAUUUACCUUGUCCUUGAUUACCUUUUGGGUUACUAUGGUUAGUUUCAUGCUAUUGCUUUACUUUAAUCAAUGAACAUGAUGUGAACACUUAUGAUACGAUGUUCUCAUUAUGAUUAUGAUGUUGGACUGGUGAUAUUCUAGGGGGCUUGAGCGGUUUCUCGAGUGCCUCUCCAUAAGGACCUGUUCGUUGGAUGACCGCCCGGGAAAACAGUGCAACCAUGAUGGUGGAAUGGGAUGCCCUUAGCUGACUAAUUAGAGGAACUGGGGUGUAGUUCGCUUCGCCGUCGUGCCGUUAAUGGGGCUCAGUGUAUGCGGCUCGCUCUGCCAAGGUUGGUUCGCCCCUUGGGGAGGAGUGCGGUGCAUUUAGGAAACCUAACGAGCGACUACAGCCUCAGGGAACCUUUGUAAAGGCUUCGUAGUGAAUCCCUGGCCAUUCACCUCGGUAGUGAAUAAGGGUCUUGCAAGCCCGGGCUAGAGAGGGAAUCACGACUUGUGGGUAAAGUGCGCAACCUCUGCAGAGUGUUAUGAAACUGAUAUAUCAGUCAUGCUCGUGGUUAUGAGCGGCCAAGGGAGCUCCAUUGAUUAGAGACACAUUGAUCAGAGAUGUUUUGUUUACAGAUGAUGAUAAGGAUAUUGCUGGUUUCUAUUAUGAUUAUGGUUAUGGUUUCUAGUAUUCUUUCCGUUUGGAAAGGGUACUUUUGGGUUAACAACUUGGGUUAAUGCUAAAACCUAGCUCUCUACUAGUAAUAAUUACCUGACCAACUAAAAGCAACUGCUUGACCUUAACUCCACAUAAAGCUAGUCCACUACAGCCAAACGGGACAUUUGCUGAGUACGUUGAUGUGUACUCACCCUUGCUUUCGCAAAACACCAGGUUGCCUUUGAUGCAAUCUAUGCUCAGGUAAAGAAAGAUAAGAAGGCGUCGAGGUGGAUCGCCAGGAGUUCCAGGACGUCGAUGAGUUCGAGGAUUAGGCUAGCGACCUUCCCCAGUCAGCUGCCUGUGGUGGGUUGUUUACGUUGGCUACGUUUCGAUUCUGUGUACUUUGAUUUAUAUUAUGUAAAUGGCUCUAAUCUGUAAUAUUAUUACUUUCUAUUUAUUGUUAUUCGAA